GGUGGCCGGAGAGCGCUGGAGCCGGCGGGAGAGACGCUGAUGUGAAGUGGGGAGGAGCAGAGCCAGCGGGAACCCGUGUCCUUCCCCCGCAGCCUGGCCUCUGCUGUGCAGCUGCUCGCCUGCCUGGCUGGAGCAGAGGCGGGCGGCUGCGGGCCUGGCUGCUGCCCUGCACACAGCAAGCCUGAAGAUCAGCGACAGUGUGUGCAAGGGAGCAACAACUGGCGCCCAGGGGACGUCUGGGGCUUCGGCUGUGCUUUCUGCCUUGUGGACCGUGCACACUUCUUUCGUGGCUCACACUAACAGAGAACAGACACUCCAAGGACUGGGUUCCAUCUUAGCCAGGUCGGGGUGGGACAGAGCCACCCAGGUAACUGCACGUCUUCCUAGAGUUUAAAGGAUGCUUGUCGCCUGGGGAGAAGUUUCACUGUCUCAAGUGGAAAACGUGCGACAGUGAUGUGUGAUUCUGCUCUCAGGGAGGCUGACUGCACUGUCAGAGAUUUGAGCCUUCCAUCCCAGGUCUGGGGCCCAUAUGCAUCUAGGGUCUCCCACGUGGCCCUGGACUCUCCCAUCUCAGCCUCCAGCUGGCUGGGCCUGCAGGGAUUGAGCUUAGGACCUCAUGCUUGCCAGGCAGGCGCUAUGCUGCUGAGCCACAUCCUACCACAGGAGGUGCACUUUCUACAUCUGGAGUGCGUGCAGUGGUGAGCUGGGAAGGGAACCUGGGUCCCUGCGGCACCGCCCACCUCUUGGAGAGGUGGAGCCUCACCUUGUGCAGGGCCAGAAUCUGAGAUCCAAGGGGCAUCUGCCUGCCCCAAAGCCAGGUUCUCAGCGGCUUCAUAGGGCUUAAAAAUGCUCACACUCUUUGAUUCAACAAUUGUACUUCUAGGAAUCCACGCUAAGGGAAUAAGUGGAAAUGUGUGCAAAGAAAUAGUGAUAAAGAUGUCUGUGAAAAACUUUUUACAACAAAAAAACAAACAAAAAUGUGUAUAUGCACCAACCCAAAAAA